ensembl:lncRNA
CCACCAACCACGCAGCGUCUGCAAUGUGUGGAUGUGCUUGUUCUCCUGCUAUCCUCUUGGGGUUAAUUGAAUAUCACAUUUCAAAGCCACUUUGAUGGAUUUACCAAAGUGCAAUACAAUAAAACUAUCACAAUGUUUUUCCACGCAAUGAAGCAAAUGCAGUUCAGACUCAGAGAGGAGAAGGGUGAAGGAAAUAGGUUCUGGAUGCAAUCGUGGUGCCUUGGAGGUUGAGGUGAUGGAUGAUGUGUUUUACCACAAGAGGCCAUUUACAGAAGUAUAUUGACAAGGUCAACCAAAGGAGUUCCACUGUGAACACUGCAGCACUGGACCCUGCUGGAACUGGUGGCAGUUUCUAUGGCCACCCUCUGGUUUUCAGUGCAAGAGCUGGUUUGAAAUUUCUGAACAAAGGAGUAUUUGCUUGCUUGGAUACCGACAGCCCAUGACAGGUAAGUGAGAGCUCUGCGUAGCACUGAAGGAUGAAACCAUCCCAGGAGUCCUUUGGCCAAAGUAGAUGAUGCUCAUUGGAUGCUCCAGGUCCAACAUGCAUUUUGAAGUAACACUUUGUGUAGCCAAAACGAAACACCAAACAUUUAAUGUACCCCUUUUGUUCUGCAAUAGCAAAAGCCAGAACCCACAUUACCUCCAGACCAGUAGCACAUCUAUAUUCAUAACCCAAAUAUUGCUAAGGCACAAGCAUUAACUCAGAUUAACUGGAACACUCUAGUCAUACACAUAUAAUGAAAUUCUCGUGCUUUACCAAUCAAGGUGGCUGCAUCAUCUUCCUUAUAGGAAAAGGACAACACAUGCAAAUGUCCUCAGUCCAGAUAAAUAAAAUUGUGUAAAUUCUGAUUUUUGGCAUGAUAUAUAUAUCUGUACAUAUCGAAUACAUUUAAAAACUCUAAAAUCAAGAGCAAAGCCUUUGAGUGCACACAGCAUUGCUGAUGAUGCAGCUGUUUCAAUAAGGGCCAUUAAGUUAAUGCUGAGCACUCUCGCUUCAAAUAAAACAGUUCAAUACAACUAUUUUAGGAAAAAAAUGCAGGCAUUGGUCUCAAGCACUUUGAGAGCCUAUUCUGGGUUUCAUCUCUCUUCCUGUGAGAAGGGACAUGUCCAAUUACUAUUUGAUAAUGCUACAUUUUUACCUAGCAAG